rnacentral:rRNA from 1 species
CAGUCGCCGCGGUAAUACGUAGGGUGCAAGCGUUAAUCGGAAUUACUGGGCGUAAAGCGUGCGCAGGCGGUCCGCUAAGACAGAUGUGAAAUCCCCGGGCUUAACCUGGGAACUGCAUUUGUGACUGGCGGGCUAGAGUAUGGCAGAGGGGGGUAGAAUUCCACGUGUAGCAGUGAAAUGCGUAGAGAUGUGGAGGAAUACCGAUGGCGAAGGCAGCCCCCUGGGCCAAUACUGACGCUCAUGCACGAAAGCGUGGGGAGCAAACAGGAUUAGAGACCCGCGUAGUCCCUGUCUCUUAUAC